GCAGCGGUUAAACAAAAAAGAUUUUUUUUUAUUCUAUUAAUGUAAAAUUAAUCUUUAGGGAAAAAAUUAAUAAUUAAAAAAGGUGAAAUUUUUUAGUUAGUUUAAUAAAACAUUUAAAUAAAAACUCCAUUUUUAAAAACUAGGAUUAGAUACCCUAUUAUUAGGAAUAAUUCAUUGUUAGUAAAUAUUAAAUACGAAAACAAAAAAUUAUGGCGGUAUCUUAAGCUUUUCAGAGGAAUUUGCUCUUUUAUGGAUAAAACACCUAAAUCUUACUAAAAUUAGCAAGUUCAGUUUGUAUACCACUAUAAAAGUAAUAAUUAGUUAUUAUUACUUAAACUUUUAAUUUAAAAAGAAAAUUAAGUCAAGGUGCAGCAAAAAUUUUAGGAUGAAGUGAAUUACAAUGCUUUUUAGAAAAAAAAAUUGAAAUUUAAUUUUAGGAUUUGAAAGUAAAAAUUUAAUAAAAUGAUUUUUUGAAUUAAGUUCUGAGAUAUGUACAU
rnacentral:rRNA from 1 species